CCACACAUUGGGACUACUUGUUUCUCUGUUUCAGCUGCGGGCUCGUUUGAGGAUGAGUGUCAUUGCAGUCCAGUCGGUGAAAAUGGUGACAGCCAACAUGUUGCUGAGUGUCUUCUUUGUUUCAGGUGCUCUGGCUGAUUGUUAUAGAGAGCCAGCCCUAUUCAUUACUACACCAAAGAACAUGGAAGCACUGAGUGGAUCUUGUCUGCUAAUCCCAUGUAACUUUAGUUCUAAACCAGAUCAGGACUUCAACAGCACAAGAACAACCUUCGGAGUGUGGAUUAAAAA